rnacentral:rRNA from 1 species
GUGCCAGCAGCUGCGGUAAUACGGAGGGUCCAAGCGUUGUCCGGAAUCACUGGGUGUAAAGGGUGCGCAGGCGGGCCUGUAAGUCAGGGGUGAAAGCCACCGGCCUAACCGGUGAAUUGCCCUUGAUACUGCAGGUCUUGAGUCCCGGAGAGGCUAUCGGAAUUCGUGGUGUAGCGGUGAAAUGCGUAAAUAUCACGAGGAACACCUGAUGCGUAGGCGGAUAGCUGGACGGGUACUGACGCUCAGGCACGAAAGCGUGGGGAGCGAACAGGAUUAGAUACCCUGGUAGUCCACGCCGUAAACGAUGGAUGCUCGAUGUUGCACCGCUUCAGGUGCAGUGUCUAAGCUAACGCGUUAAGCAUCCCACCUGGGGAGUACGAUCGCAAGGUUGAAACUCAAAGGAAUUGACGGGGCCCGCACAAGCGGUGGAGCAUGUGGAUUAAUCGAUGCAACGCGAAGAACCUUA